ACACAUGCAAGUCGAGCGGAAAGGCCCUUUCGGGGGUACUCGAGCGGCGAACGGGUGAGUAACACGUGAGUAAUCUGCCCUGCGCUCUGGGAUAGCCACCGGAAACGGUGAUUAAUACCGGAUAGGACCACUUCACGCAUGUGAUGGUGGUGGAAAGUUUUUUCGGCGCAGGAUGUGCUCGCGGCCUAUCAGCUUGUUGGUGAGGUAACGGCUCACCAAGGCUUUGACGGGUAACCGGCCUGAGAGGGUGACCGGUCACACUGGGACUGAGACACGGCCCAGACUCCUACGGGAGGCAGCAGUGGGGAAUAUUGGACAAUGGGCGGAAGCCUGAUCCAGCAACGCCGCGUGAGGGAUGACGGCCUUCGGGUUGUAAACCUCUUUCAGUACCGACGAAGCGAAAGUGACGGUAGGUACAGAAGAAGGACCGGCCAACUACGUGCCAGCAGCCGCGGUAAUACGUAGGGUCCGAGCGUUGUCCGGAAUUAUUGGGCGUAAAGGGCUCGUAGGCGGUUUGUCGCGUCGGGAGUGAAAACACCGGGCUUAACUUGGUGCUUGCUUUCGAUACGGGCAGACUAGAGGUAUGCAGGGGAGAAUGGAAUUCCUGGUGUAGCGGUGAAAUGCGCAGAUAUCAGGAGGAACACCGGUGGCGAAGGCGGUUCUCUGGGCAUUACCUGACGCUGAGGAGCGAAGUGUGGGGAGCGAACA
rnacentral:rRNA from 1 species